GACGUAGGGUGCGAGCGUUGUCCGGAUUUAUUGGGCGUAAAGAGCUCGUAGGCGGCUCGUCGCGUCAGCUGUGAAAACCCGGAGCUCAACUCCGGGCCUGCAGUCGAUACGGGCAGACUGGAGUUCGGCAGGGGAGACUGGAAUUCCUGGUGUAGCGGUGAAAUGCGCAGAUAUCAGGAGGAACACCGGUGGCGAAGGCGGGUCUCUGGGCCGAUACUGACGCUGAGGAGCGAAAGCGUGGGGAGCGAACAGG
rnacentral:rRNA from 1 species